UACGUAGGGGGGCUAGCGUUGUCCGGAUUUAUUGGGCGUAAAGAGCGUGUAGGCGGCCAUGUAGGUCCGGUGUGAAAACUCGAGGCUCAACCUCGAGAUGUCGGCGGAAACCACUUGGCUAGAGUCCGGAAGAGGAGAGUGGAAUUCCUGGUGUAGCGGUGAAAUGCGCAGAUAUCAGGAAGAACACCUAUGGCGAAGGCAGCUCUCUGGGACGGUACUGACGCUGAGACGCGAAAGCGUGGGGAGCGAACAGG
rnacentral:rRNA from 1 species